UUCAUAGUAGCAACUGUUGCUUGAAUUGC
rnacentral:sRNA from 1 species